rnacentral:rRNA from 1 species
GAUGAACGCUGGCGGCGUGCCUAAUACAUGCAAGUCGAGCGAACGGACGAGAAGCUUGCUUCUCUGAUGUUAGCGGCGGACGAGUGAGUAACACGUGGAUAACCUACCUAUAAGACUGGGAUAACUUCGGGAAACCGGAGCUAAUACCGGAUAAUAUUUUGAACCGCAUGGUUCAAAAGUGAAAGACGGUCUUGCUGUCACUUAUAGAUGGAUCCGCGCUGCAUUAGCUAGUUGGUAAGGUAACGGCUUACCAAGGCAACGAUGCAUAGCCGACCUGAGAGGGUGAUCGGCCACACUGGUACUGAGACACGGUCCAGACUCCUACGGGAGGCAGCAGUAGGGAAUCUUCCGCAAUGGGCGAAAGCCUGACGGAGCAACGCCGCGUGAGUGAUGAAGGUCUUCGGAUCGUAAAACUCUGUUAUUAGGGAAGAACAUAUGUGUAAGUAACUGUGCACAUCUUGACGGUACCUAAUCAGAAAGCCACGGCUAACUACGU